UACUUUCUUAGUAUAAUUAGUACAUCUGACUUCCAAUCAGUUAGCUCUAGAAUAACCUAGAAGAAAGUAA
rnacentral:tRNA from 1 species